rnacentral:lncRNA from 1 species
AAUAACCAGAGAAAACCACCUUUGACUGAAGUUAAUGGAAAGUACACUAGCGAACUAAUUACUGCUCACAGCUAUUAAAUGGAGGUGUGCCAGAAAGGCAGCAGCCCCACUUCCCAUUUCCACCUCAAAUCAAAACAAAGCAGUAGAUCCAAUAUUCAUAAUCCUUCCCACUCAAAUUAGUUACCACUGCUCCUUUGCUAUUGGCAGUUAGGAAGAUGUCAAGGCGAGGGGGAAUUGUGUAAGGUGCUGUUUGGUUGUAUUUGCAGUGGUUUCAGCUCUCUGUGUAUCUGGGCCUGCAAUUUACUGGAAAUUCAAGAAAAGUCUCAGCUUGAAAACUGCAUCGUUGAAUUCUUGCAGUCCUUCUAUUUGUGAUUGCUUCCCUCCUCUUUCCCUUCUCAAGAUUGCUCCUGGUAUGCUAUUUAUUGGUCAAAGUUUCAAGCUUUGGAAUAAUUUUUCCUUUUUGUUCGUCACGCCUGUAUGAUUUCAUGACCAAAUUUGAUAUUUUGUGAAUUUGAGCUAGCAUUUGUCACAUUUUUUUAAUAUCUGAAGAACUGUGGAAUUGGGACACCUUAGAUCGCUUCUGAUUUUCUUUUUGUCUUUAUUCGGGAUAGUCUUGUGUUUAUUCGAAUUGAAUGGAAAUCUUGCAUGUUUACCUGGGCUGAAAAUUAGAGGGCUUUAAAAUUUGUUCUAGAUUUCUUAAUGCCCGCAAUAUUUUUUGUGGGUUGAGAUCGAUAUUUGCAAGAACAGUUUACCCUCGUUGAGCGUUCAUAAUGUAAUGUCGGUGCAGUUCAUGCCCAUUCCAACCCCAAUGUCAGACCUGCAGGUUAAUUUCUAGAAUUGUAUUGAAUUUGGGAAAGAAUCAGAAGUAAGAAACAAGAUCAAGAGGAGGGAAGAGAGAAAGAAGAGAAAGGGAGGGAAGUAACAGACAAGAGAGAGAAAGCAGCGAGAAACUUUUCAUUCAAAAACAUAACCAGAAUUCUGUUACAGAGGGCUAUUUAUGUAAUUGUCCAUUAACUAACUUGGCCCAUUCACACCAGCACCGCCUAUGUUAUUAGAACGACGUAGUUUAGCUUCUAAGGCCUUAAACGCACAACCCUUUGCAUUAAACGACGUCCCAUUCUAUUUUCCUUGUUCCUGACAAUCUCUCCCCCUUACGCAAAGCUUGUCCUCAAGCUUGAAAUUCCGGAAAUUGUCUGUCAAUGAAGCUUUUAUCCUCCCAUGAUGCUUCGGAUUCUGGUAAGUUGUUCCACUUCACCAGGUACUGGAUGACUGGUUUGGCAGCUCGCAUGACAACACGCCUCUGGAGAAUCUUCUCUGGCUUCAGCAAACAUUGGUCUGAUGCAUCUACUUCUGGCAAGCUGGCCUCUACCUGCUGUGUAACUCCCACCUUCCUUUUAAGUAAGGACACAUGGAACAUGGAAUGAACUCGAGCUCCCUCUGGCAACUUAAGUCUGUAGGCGACUUCCCCUACUCUCGCAAGGAUCUGGAAAGGUCCAAAGUAUUUGGCAGCCAACUUCAAAUUCCUCCGUAAGGCCACUGAUUGUUGCCUGUAAGGUUGCAGCUUGAGAAAUACCCAAUCCCCCACUUGGAAGACACGUCAGUCCUGUGCUUAUCAGCAAACAUUUUCAUGCGAUUCUGAGCGGUAGCUAGAUUCUCUUUGAUGAGAGAUAGAAUUUGGAGCCUAGUCUGCACCAUGUUGCCAGCAGCAGGUACCAGGCUAUCAUGAAAAGGUCCUAAGGGAAUGUGAUUUGGUUUAUACCCGUAUAGUGCUUCAAAUGGUGUCACCUGCAAGCUAGUAUGGAAGUUAGUGUUGUACCAUAACUCAGCUGUAGGAAGCCAACUGCUCCAGUGAGAAGGAUGCUCACUGCACAUACACCUGAGAUAGUUCUCCAAACACUGAUUGACCCUUUCACUUUGACCAUCUGAUUGAGGGUGAUACGAUGAACUGUAGUGCAGCUUUACCCCUACCAUACCAAAUAACUCUUGCCAAAACUUACUAAGAAAGAUUCUGUCCCUGUCAGUUAUAAUGGUCUCAGGAAGUCCAUGCAGCUUGUAUAUGUUGUCAAGGAAAAGCUGUGCUACCUGCUGUGCAGAAAAAGGGUGAGUGAGUCGAAUGAAAUGGCUGAACUUGGUUAACCUAUCCACCACCACCAAAAUGGCAUCAAACCCAUGAGAUGGGGGUAGCUGCUCAAUAAAAUCCAUAGUAAUGUGUGACCAAGCCUGCUGAGGUACAGGGAUUGGUUGCAGCAAUCCAGGAUAAGAGACAUUUUCAUGUUUGUUCCUCUGACAUACAUCACAAGACCUCACGUACUGGAGGACAUCCCUUCGGAUUCCAGGCCAGUAAAAUAAAGCAUGUACUCUAAAUAAACAUCCCCUCUGACCUGAGUGUCCCCCAAUGGCUGAGUCAUGCAGUGCUCUGAUCAAGUUGGUCCUAAUGUUGUUAGCAGAUCCUAUAUACAGCUUCCCUUUGAACUUAAGGACCCCAUUCUCCAACUGAUAGUCUGGAUCUGCAUGGGGGUCCAACAACAGCUCAGAUAACUUCUGUUGAGCCUCUGCAUCUCCCAUGUAACUUUCCAACACUUCCUGCAUCCAGCUAGGCUAAACUGUGGUUAUAGCACAGGCCUGAUGCCCUGCUCCCCCAUCGUCAACAGUGCAUCCCUCAAUCCUUCUCCUGGAAAGGGCAUCUGCCACCCCGUUGUCUGCACCCAUUUUAUAUUGUAUUUCGUAAUCCAACCCCAGUAGCUUAGUAAGCUAUUUGUGCUGGAGUGGAUGAGUAAGCCUUUGCUCUAGCAGGUGUUUGAGAGCCUGGUGAUCCGUCCUAAUAAUGAAAUAAUGACCCACCAAAUAGUGCCUCCACUUGGUUACAGCUAACACUAAUGCAAAAAGCUCCUUUUCAUAAACUGAUAGCCCCAGAUUCUGAGCUGAUAAGGCCUUGCUAAGAAAGGCUAUGGGAUGUCCCUCCUGCAUCAGCACUGCUCCAAUGCCUAUCCCACACGCAUCCGUCUCAAUGACAAAGGGAAGUUCGAAAUUAGGCAUGCUCAACACUGGAGCUGUGGUCAUAACCCUUUUCAAAUCUUCAAAGGCCAUUUGGGCUCCAUGGUUCCAUGCAAAACCUUCCUUUUUCAACAGUACAGUCAUGGGUUUGCUAAUCACUCCAUAGCCUUUGAUGAAUCUCCGGUAGUAACCAGUUAAUCCCAAAAAACCCCUCAGCUCCUUGAUUGUACUAGGAACAGGCCAAGACUUGAUACACUCCACCUUAGCCACAUCCAUACUCACUCCUGCCUCUGAGAUCACAUGCCCCAGGUAUUCGAUUGAAGAUUGAACAAAAGAGCACUUUGACCUCUUGCAAUAUAACUGAUUUUCUUCUAAAAUACUGAGCACAAUUUGCAGAUGCUGUGCAUGCAUCUCUAGGGUGGGACUGUAUACUAAUAUGUCGUCAAAGAAGACUAGGACAAACUUUCUGAGAUACGGUUGAAAGAUUCUGUUCAUCAAGGACUGAAAUGUAGCUGGAGCAUUUGUGAGUCCAAAAGGUAUCACUAAAAAUUCAAAGUGGCCAUGGUGUGUCUGGAAGGCAGUCUCAGGGGUAUCAACAGCUUUCACCCUCAACUGAUGGUAACCAGCUCUGAGAUCCAGCUUGGACAUGUAUCUGGUUCCAUGUAAUUCAUCCAAUAGUUCAUCUAUGUUGGGAAUAGGGAAUUUAUCCUUUAUAGUUAGCUCGUUCAGCUUCCUGUAAUCUAUGCACAAUCUCUAGGAGUUAUCCUUUUUCUUUACUAACAAUACAGGGGAGGCAUAGGGGCUGGUGCUAUGUAUAACAAUUCCAUUGGUGAGCAUCUCAGCAACCUGUUUUUCAAUUUCUGCCUUAUGUGAGUGGGGGUAUCUGUAUGGUUUGAGCUUAAAAGGUUCAGCUCCUGGUUUAAGAUUGAUCUGAUGGUCCAAUUUUCUUUCUGGGGGUAAUCCUGUUGGUGUGGAAAAAACUUGAGAAUGCUGUUCCAGGAUCCUUCCUAUAGCUUCUGGAAGCUGCUCCUCAGAUUCUCUAGCCUUAUCAGCAUGCAUGGCUGCACAGCUUCUUUGUUUCUCCUGUAUAAAUGACCUGAGAUCCCUGCCCCUCACCAGUUCCAUAGUAGGUUGAUUCACGAGUCCUUUGAGAUGCAACAAGGAACCUCUAUCACUCAAGGCAAUGCUAAGAGAAUGGAAAUCAAAUGUAAUGGGGCUAUACUGGCACAUCCAAUCCACCCCCAGAAUUAUAUCCCAUCCCCCUAAUUCCAUUACUUUUAAGUCCAAUUGGAAUUGGUAGUCUUGGAUUAACCAAGACACACUGGGACUGAUGGCUCCACUGGUAAUAUCAGUCCCAUCUGCAAGAGUCACAGUGAAUGGACUGACUGCCUGAUAUGGCAGGUGCAAUAGAUUGACAACCCUGUGGUGAAUGAAACUGUCAGAACUGCCUGUAUCCACCAGAAUUUUGACUGGAAGCCCUCCCAAGUUCCCUAUCAGCAGGAUGGAUUUCCUCCUUAUGGCACCAGAUAGAGCAUUCAAAGAGACUUCUGCAAGUUCUCCUACCCUCCCUGUUAACUCAUCCUGUUCCCCCUCCGCGUCUUCAAAUUCAGUAUCCUCCUCUUCCUCAGUGCUCACACAGUUCAGACUCCCUUUCUUGCACUGAUGACCUAUGCCAAACUUCUCUCCACACCUAUAGCACAGGCUGUGCUUACGUCUAUACUGCAUUUCCUCCGCUGAUAUCUUGCUAAACUCCCUGUGUACUGCAUUAGUCUUCCUGGGGAUAGGAGUAACUCCAGGCAACUUAUAUGCGUUCUGGCGACCCUGAUCGUUCGUGGUGCUCUUGUACAUUCCAAACUUGGAAUCCAAUGCCAUUCUCCCUGAAGUUCUGUUUUGUUUCGACUGGAUUUCCAGGGAACACUCCUGCAACUCAGCAACCUCAAAGGCUUUCAUCAAUGUUUGAGGCUUAAACAUCUUCACCAUAGGUCUAAUCUCUUCCUUGAGGCCGCUAAUAAAACUGGAAACAAAGUAAAGUUCAUCCAACCUGGGGUUUUUCAUCAGCAUUAGGGUCUUAAGUUCCUCAAACUUUUCCUCAUAUUCCUCAACAGCUCAUUUCUGCUGUAACUUGUUAAAUUCCUCCACAAUGUCACGAGAACUAUUUCCAGAGAAUCUUUCGCACAGAAGUUCACCAAAUUCCCCCCAAGACAACCCUGGCCUCACCAAUUUCACUCCCUGAAACCAAUUGUCAGCUCUACCUUCCAAAAACAUCUCUGCUACCUCUACCUUUUGACUCUCUGCUAUCUGAUAGUUCAAAAAAUAUUUCUGGCAUUUCCUAGUCCAUUCCCUAGGGUUUCCAGAGUUAAACAUUGGCAGUUCUAAUCGAGGUACAUUAGGAGUGAAUUGCCUACCUCUGUACUCUUGUUGGUGCCCAAUCCCUUCGACUGAGGAUGCUAACCUCAGGUGAGAUGGAGGAGUAGGCAGGAUUGGAUCAGAAAUUCCUCCUUCGACAUCAGGGAGACCUUUCUCCUUCAUCAGUAGCUUCAACACUGUACUGAGUCUCUGUUCCAUUUUAUUGAACUUCUGGUCCAGAGUUCCCACCACCGCGUCCAGUUUUGCAUUGUUCUGCUCCAUUUCCGCCUGUAGCUUAUGUCGCAACUCCUCGGAGCUCGCACUCUGCAGUGCAGCCAUGGAUUCCGCCAGUUCUUGCAACCGAUUUUCCUGCUUCUUGAGUUGCUCCUCCAGUGUCCUGAAUCGCGUGCUCUCAGCCAUUUCUGAUACCUUCGCGGCCAAGAAUCGACCGCUCUGAUACCAAAUGUCAGACCUGCAGGUUAAUUUCUAGAAUUGUAUUGAAUUUGGGAAAGAAUCAGAAGUAAGAAACAAGAUCAAGAGGAGGGAAGAGAGAAAGAAGAGAAAGGGAGGGAAGUAACAGACAAGAGAGAGAAAGCAGCGAGAAACUUUUCAUUCAAAAACAUAACCAGAAUUCUGUUACAGAGGGCUAUUUAUGUAAUUGUCCCUUAACUAACUUGGCCCAUUCACACCAGCACCGCCUAUGUUAUUAGAACGACGUAGUUUAGCUUCUAAGGCCUUAAACGCACAACCCUUUGCAUUAAACGACGUCCCAUUCUAUUUUCCUUGUUCCUGACACCCAACCCCCCCACCACCCCACAUGUUCUUGGUACAGAGGAUUAACCUGGUGCUGAAAAGAUUUGGCAGUAAUAUCAUAUUUUCCAAUGGGAUGCAAGAUCCAUGGAGCAGAGGCGGGUUAGUAUCACUUGGUUGAGAACGAAGCUCCGAUUGAGAGUACCAGAGCUCCGGUUGAGGCGGGUUUCAUAUAAUCUGAACCUAAUUUUCAAUAUGAAUCAAACCACCUAUCUAACCUGAUUACAAAUUUUGGAGGUGUAAUUGGUAGAUCACUUGGUUAACUCAAAGUGAUAUUCAUGUGAAAUUUAAUGAACCUAAAAAAAAAAAGAAAAAAUUAUAACAUAUAAAAGAAAGAUUAUCAUUUGGUUACACUGAUGGUUUUAUGCGCCUAUCAUAUCGUUUCAAUUUAAAUUUAAACACCAAAUUUGUAUUUAUGAUACACAUCUAGACUCGCAAGCGAAUAUACUAAUGGUGCAUGAAAAGAUUUAUCCAAAAAAAAUCCUAUUAUUUCAAGACAAAUAAUGGUCUUUAUGUUAUAAUUUUUAUAUUUUUGGUUUGAUAAAUGUCAUGUGAAUAUGAUGAAAUUGACCGAGUGACCUAUCAAUUUUAUCUCCGAAAUUUAUUACUGGGUUAUUGGAUGGUUUGAUUCAGAUUGAAAAUUAGGUUCAGGGAUGUAAUAAUUUUAAUUUUUAAAUGUCAGGAGCGAAAUUGCUUCAUUUUAAAAGUAAGGGACGAAAAGAAUAUUUUUGUGAAAUGUGAGGGAUGAAACAUGUCAUUUUCCCUUGAAUUAAUGAUCAAGAAAGAAUCAAUUCUCAUUUUACAUUAAAUGGAGUAGGUUAUAUCUAAUAACAAUCUAUAUUAAAUUAGGUAGUUUAUACUAAUAACAACCUACAUUGAAUAAGGAUAUUUUAGAGAAAUUAAAAGAUAAUUAUAUCUUUCAAUUAGAAAGUGGAUUAUAAUUUAGAACAAACGAAAAAAGAAAACAGAACUAUUAAAAUGGGACGGAGGUAUUUUAGCUUUCUGAGUUUGGAUGGUUGAUUAGGAAAUAUCCUUGUUGAUUUUAAAGUGUGGCUAGUACGAACAGUAACAGAUCCGAGAUCUAACUGUGAUUUGUUAAUGAAGCAUUGUGCAAAGCUUGUCUUCUUGUUCUUUCGUGAUUUCUUGUCGAGCCCUUCUCUUUGUUUGCCUGGUUUUUUUAUUUGUAUUGCAGAGAAACUCCAGAGUCGAAACUGUUGUUUUAUUCACAUUCUUUCUUUUUGAGCUAUUCACAAUCUUUCUACUUCAUGCUUUAAUCUUUUUUCUUGCAGAUUGAGUGCAAAGAUGGUUGGUGCAAGUGAUCUCUCUUGCCUCUGUCUAUCUUUAAUUUAUCCGCUUGUUUAAAUGAUGGUGGUGAUGCUUGACAGCUCUUUGCGUGGUGGUGGUUGUGAGUUCUCUGAAGCCACGAGAGGUUUUAGUGAAUGUGCAAUUUGCCCCUAGAGCAAUGGUUCAUUUAGUUUCGGAGGAAACUGACUCUCUAACUACUUUUGUUUCAUUAUAUAUUUGAGGUAGAUAGAUCCACCUGUAUAGAGGCUGCAAGAUUGGUAGUUUGGGAAGUGAUUUGCUGUACUGCAGUUAAUGUUGUCGAGUCUUUUGUGCUGUAAGAACCCUCCUCAGGGCACCCCAUGAACUGCGAGUACUAAUGCCAAUUUGUUUGAUUAGUGAUGCACAAUUGCACAAUUGCAGUUGAAGACUUGAGACCUCACAUACCAAAUGGAUAAUUCGAUGAUAAGUUAUGGUACCUAAUAGAUCAAUGUUCUUAUCGUUCACGUUCCAAGUUUACUUGGAAAUUCAUGUGCAAUCAAACUCUGAAGAAAGAGACAAUCAUGUUCAUAAGUUUUCUAAUUUAUGUUUUGAUAGAUCAUCCCCUUUGAAUGGCAUCGGAUGAGAAUCAAAGUGCUACCUUAUCUUCGUUGUUUUUUUAUGCAUUAGAGAAGGGAUAAUUGCACAAACCUCCCUUGAUGUUUCUAAAAUUUUCACUUACCACCCUUUAAUUAAAAAAAAUCAUUUGUCUUCCCUAUUUUUAACUUAUUGUAACAUUGACAACCUAUUACAAAACAUAAUAUUUAAAAACUCAAAUUUUGGAUAGCGGAGAUAUUUUCAUUCCAAAUGUGCCCUUUGUUGUCUUACUUUUUCUUUUUUCAAAAUUGAAAGCAUGUAAUAAAAAGAUAAAAAUAAAACAAACGGUACAAAUGUGUAAAUUUUGAUUGAUACAGUAUAAUCUUAGAUAUUUUAAUGUACCAAAAAUUUAUUUUAAUAAUAUAUUCAAGGUGUUUUCAAGUCAAAAAGGAUUAUUCCUUUAUUAUAAAAUGCUUUUGGUUAAUUUGAGGAGCUUUUCAAAAUUUAAAAUUUUUUAAAAAAUUUUCUAAAUUCCUUAUCUAGAGUGAUGGCUUGUAAAUCAUAAAAAAGGCAAAAUAUUUAUGUUCAGUUGUUCACAAACGCAUUUGAGGUUUUCUCAAAGAUCACAAAUUAUAUGAAAUUAAGGAUUGUGUACAAUUUUUUUGAAUUUUAUAAUUCUUUGACCAGAUCAAUGGUUUGAAAACUUGAAUAAGAUAAAAUUCUUAACUAUAAAUUUAAAAACAUAUUUGAGGUGUUUUGAAGGUGACAAAUGCUAUUAUUUUCAUUGUACAAUUCUUAGGCAACUUUUGUGAAUUUUCCAAAUUACUUAGAUUUUCAAAUUUUUAGUAAAUUUCUUGUGCAGACUAAUGACGCUAAAAUUAUUAAUAGGUCUUUCAACCUUGUUAACACUUUGCAAUUCCUAAUUAAAAAAUCACAUUGGCCAAGUGUUCAAAAGUUAAGAGAUUAACUAGUUUUGUUAUGUCAACAAAAUGGUUCACAAGAGAAGGGCAAAACACUGAAAUGAAAUUAUAUUCUCUAUCUACAAUUGAGUGUUAUGCAAGUGAAGGCAAGUGAUUUUUAAAGUUUAAAGGUGCUAAGUGAAAUUAUCACAAACCUCAAGGGAAGUUUCUGAAAUUAUUCCUGGAAAAAAAUUACGUCGGGGUAAGGUUAACCUUGCAGUUGCGAAGACCAAUAAGUACUGAAUUUAGUGAGAUCUCAAGUUGCCUGAAGGAUGGACUAUCAUUGGCAAUCGGCAAAUAAUGCAGUAUGGAAGGGCAGUUGGCUGACAUGUUCAGAGCAUUGCUGCGAAGUAAAUUGAAACGAAGGGAAAACCUUAUGCGCAGGUAAGAAAGUCAUUAUCCGUAUGAACAAUAUAAUCCAAAAAAGAAAAAGCAAAAAAGAGUUAAUCCAUUUUAUUUUUUCUCCAGAAAAAAUAUUAACCUAAGAGAUUAUUGCCAAGUCAUCAUAUAUAUAUAUAUGCAUAUUUUGGGGAAGAUGUUGCAUUUUUCCUGUUUCUCUUGCAAUACUUGUCUAUCUAAGGAAGAGUCACGCAUUCUUAUAUGUCCUGCUUCGCCAUAGUAAAAAAAGUGAUUAUUCAUAUCAACAAUAGAAUCUGAAAAAAAUGAAAAAGAGUUAAUUCUUUUUAUAUUUUUCUUCAAAAAAAUAUUAACCUAACAUAUUAUUAUCAAAGCCAUGUCCUCGUGUGCGUGUGUGUAUAUAUUUUUUUGGGAAGAUGUAUUUUUUUAUAUUUCUCUUACAACACUUACCUAUCUAAAGGAAGAGCCACGCGUUCUUAUUUGUCCAGCUUCGGCCAUAGCCAAGAAAUGGAUUAUCCAUACAUUAAUAUAAUCCAUAAAACAAAAAAAAAAGUUAGUUCUUUUUUCCUUUUAUUAUCCAACCAUGUCCUUGCCUUAUAUAUAUAUAUAUAUAUAUAUAUAUAUGUUGCAUUUUUUCUGUUCGUCUUUACCACACUUGCCAAUCUAAGGAAGAGCCACGUGUUCUUGUUUGUCCAGCUUCGACCAGAGACAAGAAUGCUCAAAACCAAAUUUAAAGCAGAAGAAGACGGAAGGGGAAAUGGGGCAACCGUUCCUGAAGGUUCACGGCUACGGUGUGGCCUCAAAAAUUUGUACGGUUCAGAUUACAACAUGUAAUUCGAUUUUCACGCCAUGUGUGGGGCCCAUAAAAAAGUGUUGUAAAAUUACAUCGUGUGCAAAGUAAGUUACAUCGUGUGCAAUGAAAGUUACGCGCAGUAAAAAAUGAAUACAACCGGCACAAAUGGUUGCACCCUUGUCCGACGGAAGGGGCUUUAACUUUUAAGAAUAUUGGCUUGCAUUGGAAAUAAAAUGACAGUUGCUUAGAUGUUGGAACCAGAGCAUGACCAUUAGUACAUUUUUAGUUGUUGGGAGAAAUAGCUUUUAGCUUUCCAAGGCUGCACUUGCACCAAAUCAUUUCAGACUUUUAUUAAAUUUAACACGCAGAAAUUUAAUCCCUCUUUCACUAAGUACUCCUGGAAGACAGCAACAAAUCACCCAAGCUUUAAAAUGUCAGCGACCGUAAAAUUCUUCACGGUGACUUAGAUAGCACGUCAAUAAUGUUGCUACAUGAGCCUAGUACGGAGUAUAUUACAAUCCCCAGUAGGUAACGUAAUUGUACAACAUUAGCAACAAUAGGUAUAGUAUAUAUAUAGUACAUUGUUUGGACUCCUAUAGAGCAGGAUAUUAAAACCGAACAACCCAUACCGUCAGCAAACUAAUCAAAGUGAAGUCAGCUCCAUGAAUUUCUGUCUAUCUAAUGUUAUAAUUGACCGCACCACUAAAGUACUUUACGGGCAUUUUCUUUGAACAUAAGAAGCUCCAUGUUCCUCGAACCUGUUAAUCAAGAGACAAAAGACUUAAUAUGGGGAGAAAAAAAGGAGAAAAGUUGAGUAUUGAGAGGUAGAGUGGAUGCAAAAACUUACUCAGAUUUUGAAAACCACAUUUGCUGAAAGGAACCAAGUGACGCCAAUAUACUCCCACCGAUCCAAACACUGAAUGCGACAAGUUAGUCAAUGCGUGGUAUGCUAACAUGAAUGCAAAGAAAUAUCCUCUUCAAUCAUAAAGCAGAAGCAAUUUGGUCUAAACAAGCAACUUUGGAGGAAGCACUGAGGCGAGGAAUGCAGGAAUGAAACAAAAGCAUAUCUGCCAGUUACCACCAUGAUUUACCCUCUCCAUAUGGCGAAUUCCUAAGUGACACGUAACAUCAAUGCUGUAACCUAAUGGCUUUUCUAUUGAGCCACCUCCAAAAGAGAUGCCGAUUUAUAUAACAAUUCACAAUGUUCAACCAGAAAAUUUGGUGCUUGAAGAAAUGAAAAUAACAUGGGAAGGAAAGGACAACAGCAAUCUACAUCCACCCAUCUACACAAGCAGAAGAUAGAACACAUUGAUUUCCUUUUUUCAUUUUUUUAAUUUUUUUCCCAUUAAGCAAGUUAGUCUACCUGAAUCUCCUUUCCGUUGCAUUUCCACUUGCCAAAACUUUCACUCUAGCUGCUUGAGGAGAUUCCUGCAAACGGUAGACCCAGACAUAAGAAAAAUCUCAAGCAUUAACUAAAACCACUGGACAAACUUGAAUUAUCACGUUGCAAUAAGCUGUGUAUUCUCUCAACAUUAAGCAUUUGAUAUCAGAAAUAACUAGAUAGCCGCAUGUCUGAUCCUUCUUCCGUCCUUUUCUUUCAUCUUUUCCUUCAUCACACAACUUUGGGCUUCUGAGUUUCCUUUUUAUUUUCCCUCUCCUCUUUUGGGAAGAGUACCAGAACAAGGACUUCUUUUUCUUUUAAAUACAGAAAUCUGACUGAAAAAAACCUACCUCUAGCAAGUCUUUCUCCAGACGUUCCUUUAACUGUUGCAUGGAUGCAGUGCCACCAGCAAGCUGUGUAAGGUUGAAAUCAAAUCAGAUACUAUAAGAUCCACUCUUCUAAGUACAAGAUAUGUUUCCUAAAGACAACACAAAAGGAAACUAUGCAAAUACAAUGAUCUGGGGGACAGAACAGAAACUUGAGUGGAAGGCAUCAUCUUUAAGAGUCAUUGAGCUAAAAAAGCUUAAAAAGAAGUUAGCAAAAGCUAAAUAUAACAGCAGGAAUCCUUGAUGUGCAUUUGCACUGAAAAAAGGACAAAAAAUAAUAUCCUGCUACUAUAGGAAUAUCAUCAGAGUGAAAAAGUAGGAAUUAAGUGAGAUAUCUGAGUUUGUGGAGAGGGGCAAAUUUAUUGGGACACAGCCAAUUAUGCAUAAAUACUAUGAAGAGAAUAUAUGGGAAGCUGGAAAUCCAAGGAAAAUGGGGAACAGCUGCAAGAUGAAGCACUACAUACAAGGUUUACCUCACUAAAAUUGCAGAGAUUUUAGAUAAUCAACAGGGGAAAAAAUAAUUUAGUGUCAACAGAAAAAAAAAAGUCUAGAUAACAGCCUUAUACAUUUUGGUGUAAUUAAGGUACUUAUUCACAUUGAAGGGUUGAAAAUUUACCAGUAUACUGCUGAAGAGUUCUCUCCUAAUAUCCACAUCACACUUAUUUAUGCUCUCCAAGACCUGAAGAAUUUUAGAAGGAUAUAUUGUAAAAGUAAAAAGAGAAUAAUGGUAGCUAGAUCCCCAGCUCAUGGAUAAAAGUGCAAAAUGACAGGAAUUACCAUUUGUGGCAGGCCACGAACAGAAGAAGCAGUCUCGGCAAAAUUCUCCAUACCAGGAAUAGUCUGACAGAUUAGAUCAUGUCAGUAAAUGGAAUUUCAAAUCAAACCAAAAGCAAUCAAGAGAAUUCAAAAUGCAUCAUUUGUCAAAAAAACUCAUCAGCAUCAUUUGUCAAAAUCCAUCAUUUGUUUCUUUAGUUAUUUGAUAAUUUGAACCAAGACAGUAGAUUAGUUAAUCUAAACUCAUCAGCAUAAAGGUCUCUAAAAGUAGCCCAUGCAAUGAGGCAUAUGUUUAGGCAAUUCCGGUCAGUGCUAAACAAGUCUAAUCUAGCAGCAAACCUCAUCGCUUCUUUUCUUUAUAAGCAAGAUUUAUUGGACAAUGAAUGUUCCAACAAAUGAUGAGAAAGACCUCCUAAAGGCCAGAGCAGGAAACUGCCACAAGCCCUUACUUAAUUCUUUGCUAGAUGUGCAUUUUCAGACCAUCUUUAUUUUCCAAUGGCAAUUAAUAAAGUCCUAAAAGCCUAGCCAAGAAAAGGAUAUCCAUGUUGAGCCAAACAAUUUGAGCUAUGAUUCUCCAACCGUGCAUGGUUUACGAGAUCUGCAUACUUAAGAAUAUUCUAAUGAUGCUUAAAUUUCAAAGCAGAGAAGAAAGGUAAAAGUUUAACUUGCAUACGUCACGACAAGCUCUACAUGUUCUCAAUAACUAAAUCCAAUUGGAAGAACAUUUGAGGCUGAAAAAUAUAAAAUUACAAAUCUAACUAUAAGCUUCAACUCUUAGGGCGGAGAAUUGGUCAAACAAAUUUAUAAUCUUUAACAUGCAUAUCAUUCAAGGAUUAGAUUAUCUUAGUAAGCUCGUGCUGUGCAAUAUAUAUAAGUUCAGGAUACUCUACUAAUUUUAUGUGAUGUAGAUACUUAAACUAUUUGUCAAGUCAGUGAAAGACAAACAUGAUGAAAAUCAUAGGGGAGAAGGGAGAGUCGAGAGGCGAAGCAUAAUGCAAAGAAAAAUACAUUUUUUUCUUUCAAUCUGGGAUACAUGUACGCUAUACUUCCCCCUUGAGCAAAAGCACAAAAAUCUCUUAAUACUAAGCUCAAAAUAAUAGCACAUAAAAAAAAAUACUCCAAAAGGCUUGCAGAUUAUGUAAACCUGAAGGGUCAAAUUUGCACAUCAUGAUUAUAAAUGGAAAAGCGGCAUAGGAAAAAGUUUCAAAACCACCUGAGCCAAGGGUGGGUUGAAAAGAAUAUCAGGUGCCUUGAAUCUGUCGGCUCCAAUUUCUAUUGUCCUGGAUUAAUAAACAAUGAACUUUGAUGAAAAGGAAGUGCCAGUAAGAAAAUAGAAGUACAGAGAAAGCUAUGAGAUGCGGUAAGACCUAGAUUAUCAAUGACCUUGUUAUAUAUAACCCCAGGUAAAUCAUGAAAAAGUUAAUGGAACAAGAACAACUCAUUAAGAUGUGUCACUUACAGAUUCUAAAAAUGUCUGUAUCCUGUAAAAAACUUUCAAGAUAGAAACAAGGCUUUAAUUACAAAACUUACUGUCCAUCAGGAAGCUCAAAAGAUGUCAUUGGUAUGUUCGAGUAUGAACUAUCUGAAAAGAAUAAAAGACCAAGAUUAUUUGUAAGUGUUUUUGUUAUUGCACUACAAUUAACAUGAUGAAACCACUAUAAAUAGGAGCACAUCUUACAUGAUCAACUAAUAUAAAGCAUUAGCAAGAUUCCUGAACAAAGAUAGGAAGGAAGUUGGCAGUGGGUCUGCUGGAUUAAAUAAUAAAGCAAAAGAUUAUGGCAUGUGCUAAAGAGAAGCAUUAGGCUUUUUGUUGGAUCCUGACGACUUGUAAUACAGGAAUGUUUAAGUUUGCUCUAUCCCUACCCAAUUUUCACAAGUGAUAUUAUUGGUAGCUGCCCUUGUUCAUGUAGACUUUCUAAGUGCUGAGACUUGGCUCUUACUGUGUCCAGGGUCUCCCCUGAAAAAUAGCAUGUACACUUUCUAUACUCUUCUAUCCUAGGUUAUAUAUAUUCCCAAUAAUGAGUCAAUAAAUGCAAGAUCAAAUGAAGUUCAAACAAUGCACCAAAGCAGUACUAACCAUCAUAUGGAGUAUCAGGAGCUCGACAUACACAUUCUUUGAUAUCACUAGCAAUUACUCUCUGUUAAAAGAAAGUCACAAUUAGUAGCAGAAGAAAAAAGGGUACAAGUACAGAAUAAAUGUAGAUUUUGGUCAGUCAGUAACCUGGCAAUAGAGUUUGUAACUCUCAGUUGUAUUUGGAAAAUCAAGAUCUACUGUCUGUAAGACUCAAUGAACAAUCCAUACAAUGUAAUAAGAACCACAAGCAUAGUAAUCAGUAAAAUCAGUACAAUAUUAAGCCUUCAGAGAAAAGAAAGUAGAAAGUAAUUACAUUAGCUUCAGUUUACAACCUUGUUCAGUAUUUACUUUAACAGCAUUGCCUAUGAAAUACAUGAGCAUGUAAAAUAGUAAAUAUCUGUAAUCACUUGAUUCCACACUGGAAAUGUCAAAAAUAUAACCAGUAAGCUUUUCCAUUGUUUAAGCUUUUAAGAAGACUUGCUAUUUAACAUCAUAAGCGUAGGUUAAAGGUACAGCCACCUCAUGCUUGCACUUCAUACACCUGUUAAAACUAAAAUAAAGGUCACAUUUGUGGAGCUUUUUAGAGAUAAAAAUAAAGCAGAUCGUUCUCUGGAGACCAGAUUAGCAUUUUGCAAGGCUGUACAAUGAAAUAAAGACACUAUAAGACAACAUUUAGUAUGGCUUGAGGUGGAGUUCAUUGUGAUGAUCACUUCAAAGAAAGGGGAAGAGAGAGCACGUAAAGCAACAUUAUUGUUAAUUUUAGGUACAGACUAUCAACUUAUUUAGUUACCUACUGCAGAAGGUGGAAGGGGCUUGAAUAGAUGGUUAGAAAGAGAAAUUUCCAAACAAUUUCUCCAGGACCAGAAUAAUGACUACAAUUGUGGUAGUAAUAUAUAAAAAAGAAUGAAUUCUUAAAAUAUGGAGGUAAAAUAUUAAAAAACAUUCAUAAUAUAACAGGAAAAAUCACCUGAAAUUCUCCAGGCCGAAUGUCCUUUCUUUUGAAUGCGUAGCGAGGUUUUAUCUGAAAUGAAAAUAGGAGAACCAAGAGAUUGUACAAGGAAAGAAUAGUCAGAUAAUCAUGAUCAGAUAUUUAAGAGCGUAAAGUAUUAUUCAUUCAGUGAAAGAACUCACAGUAAUGCCUUUGCUUUCCAAACUUUUCAUCAAGCAAUCAGUAAGGAAUUCUCCGCCAAUAGGAGAUGUUGCCACGGCCUAUGCAAAAAAAUAGAAACUUAGAAAAUAUCUCUAAAAGACGAAGAAAACUAUAAACUGGGCUAUCUUCACAAGAAUUGGGAAGGUGUAAAUUAGAAAGGAAUACUCCAUCCAAAUAAAUGCUCAUAUUAAUUGUUUGCAAUAGUCUAAUGAAUUUAGAUAUCCAGAUGUGUACUUCAUUCAGUACAACCAUUGAACAUCCACUAGAAACAAAUUGAAAGCAGACAAGCCUUGAGCAAACAGUGUAGGGAAGGCUUUACAGGUUUAUUCAAACAGCAGAAACAUAUGAGUGUGUACGUCUUAUGCCCACUAGCAUGCAAGAUAUGCCCCUAUUGCUACGUGAAUCACAAAAUUUCAAUUCUUCAGACUUUGCCUACAAACAACCCCCCAAAAAUGAACUUCAAUUCUCCACUUUUUACUGACCAGUAGUUCUUUGACUACAAUAUAUCUCAUCUCAGAGCUCCACCUGUAUUAAUGCUAUUUCACCUUUGGAACUCAGAAAUCAAACCAUGUACUGCAAUAAUGCUUCAAGCAUCAAAAAAACUAAAUUUGUUGCAAUACCAUCGGGAUCCUUCACAUUUGCAAUGGUUACUAUGUGCAUAUCAAUCAACAGUACAACUAGACAACGACCAAGUAAAUUUCCAAAUUGUGGUAGUUUUGAAGAAGAUUUCUCAAAUAGUGAGAGUUCUGAAGCAACGCAUUCACUGAAUGCAUCUUUUGAACAAUGCAUUCAAUAAAUGUAUUCUUCUAGGGAAAAAUGCAUAAACAAAUAAAAGAGUGUAUUAUGCGAAUGCAUCUUUUAAGGAAACAACACAUUCACUAAGUAUGUUUUUCACCCUUUGGGAAGAGGUUUGAAAAACACCACCUUUUGGGAAUUAAUUUUAAAACAUCACACCUUUUGGGAAUUUCCUAGACAACAACUGGACAACAGAAUAUGAAACUCAGGACAAAAAGGUAUUAGUCAAUUAAAAAUCCAAGUUAUUCCACAAGAAGUAGCUCAAAAAAAAGCUACAAAAGACAUGGAUUAACACAUUAACAAAAUUAAAAGAGUAUCACUGGAGUUGGAUAUACAAUGAUCUCACUACCAAAAACCUCCAACAUAGUAAGGUCAAAGUCAGUGCUAGUAUCCAUCUGCAGUUUCUACAUAGAUCAACAGCAGUACCUUUUGAAGUACAUAUCCAUCAUGUACGGGAGCAACUGUAGUUGAUCCUCCGCCACUGAAUCAAUUAGCACAACCAAUAAGUGCCCAUUUUAAUCAAGGUCAAAUAAGCAUAAAAUUUAAUUGAUCGACAAGAAAAAAUAAGACAAAAAGCAACUUCAUUAUGGUAGAAAACAAAAUAUGAUCCAGCACAGUAGUAAAGAGAAAAGAAACCACAAGAUCGAGGGAUUGUUCUUUUGUUUUCCGCAAAACACUCUAAGGACUACAAACGCAUGAAAAAAUUAAAGUAAGAAAUUAUUCCUCAGGAGUUUUACAGAGCUAGGAUUGAAUUGCAUGCUGAAAUUACCAUGGGACUGUUUUUCUGGUAUUUGUGCUUCCCCGGCAAACAUUUGACAGAGAAAGUGAAGGUUCACAUCUUAUUCUUUUCAAGCAAACUCUGCAUGACGCUUCUCAAAAUGAUCCUAAAUACUAGACAAGAAUGAUUUAUAGAUCAAGAGGUUGUGCUUGUCGAAGACAAUUUCUAACAAAACCACCUGAGAUACCACUACUUGUCACACCAAUAUCUGAUGUCUGCAUCUUUUUACGAACUCCAGGAGUCAUAGAAAAGGACGAGAAUAAGGUGAAAGAAGUAUGCAUGCCAAAAUAUAGAAGCAACGUCUUGGAAAUGGGUAAACAAAUUUAACUUGGAACAUAGUAGGAUAGUGCGGUUAUAUCACAAACUAGAAUUUAAAAUACUGCAUUGAACGGACAGUAAUAGUAGUUGGCAUGCAUAAGAAAACUCUUACCUAUCAACAACUAAAGAGGUUGCACGUCCAGAUGCAAAGGACGUAAGAACCUGGCAUUUGAAAAUUGCAGUGAAUAACUAGCAAAACACAGACAAAAUGAUUUUUUAAAAGCAUAUGAAGGGAAACCAGGCAUUUGAAAAUAGCAGCCAAUAAUUAGCAAAACAUAGACAAAUUUAUUUCUUGGAAGUAUAUGAAGGGAAACACUGGCUGUAGCAUACUUCAUCACAGAUUGACAUAAAUAGCUACAAGUACUAGUUGAAAACUGAAUAGAGGAACUCACUGCAUUUUUAGCCAAGAACAAUGCCGGAACCUGGUACUUUUCAAACAUAAUCUCUGCUGACCUGUCAGAUGCCUAGUCAGUUUCUUUAGUGCCGGAGAUUAGACAUAACUUUUCCAAAAGCUAACUCAUAGAAGUAAUACAGGGACACCAAAUAAUCUAAAAUCACUUUUAAAAAAAAAAAACACAAAACAUAGUAUUGCAUACAAGAACAUGGAAAAAGGAGAGCAUUCUUGUUUAGAAGAGCAUUCUACAUAGGUGCUACAAACCCAAGAAGAAGAGCAUUCUUGUUUAGACAGCCACAUGGAAUACCACCACCUCCUUUCUUAUAUCUUUCAAAAUUAUGGGAAAUGGAAGAAAAGUACUUACAUCUCAAAUAACUGAAAUCUCAAAAGAAGAGAGACAAAAAUAACCGGAGCUUACCUUGCAAAGACAGACUUAUCCACCCAUAACCCCCAAAAUUAUAUGAGAAAAUUUUAACUUAUAAAUCAAGCAUCACCCCUAUAUUAGAAAAUUAGUAACACUAAUCUUUUGGAGCAAGAAGCAAAAGGACCUUCCAGGUCAUAUGUAUGAGAGAUGUCAUGCAAGUAAUAAAACAUAUAGGCAUAUAAAGGACUAAAGAAGGAUCCAUAAAGGGAUUCUGAAUUUCUGAUUAUCAUCUCACUUUUCUCUCUGCUGUUGAGAAUUAGCACAUGGCUCAGCAAGCAGCAUGGGAUGCUCCUUAGGAUCAAUCAAGAGGCAUUCCCUACAAAUGACAAAGCAAGUAAUAGUAUGAAUUAUGAAUUAUAAUAUUCAUUGAAUGGUAGAGAUGGCUGUACCAUUCAAAAACAAUGCGGAGAUGCACAAUUAAGGGAAAAAAGGAAAAACACAUUUUUCCACAAACAGUGCAUGACAAUGGAAAGGAUGGGAUGUAUUUAUCCAUAGCUGAAGACAAUACACCAGCACAUAAAAGCUCCCCUUUUCUCCUGUCUUCUAGUAAAUCUAAAUGAAUUCUAGAAUCGGAAAACAAUUAUUGCACUAAAGUGGUAUCAGUCUGACACUCUGACGAUGAGAAGAAGUACAAGAUUAGUUACAUAUGUUAUCUAUGACCUCCAAGAUGAGAACCAAAAUAUUAAAGAUUUGAACAGAGCUGGAUGCGUUGAAAUUAUUUAAGUUGAAUUGGCUAUUACUCCCUGCCAACAUGAUAUUCAUGAAUUUUCCCUAUUGCUAAGGUCUGAUCCAUUUAGUAAGCAAACCAUUGUUGCAUCCCUUGUAACUACUAAGCAGGUGAUGCAGCACAGAGAUUCCAUAUGCUUAGAAUACAAUUUGAACCAAAAUGAAUAUGCAAAUUUGAUUACUUGAAGGCAUGAUCCCAUAUGCUUUCAACAAUUUCCCAAUCAGCAAUUAUCCCAUCCUUAAUUGGAGAUAGGACCUGAGAAAAUAGAAUAUCACAAGCUCAAUAAGAAAAGAGGUUGAACGUGCAAGCCAAAACCUAUCUAAAAGAUGUUCUUCUGACUCUAAAAGAUGUUCUUCUGACUGACCUCCAUGUGAUCCCGGCGGAAUCCCAAGGCUUGGGAUCCUACGUAUAACUUUCGCUUAGCCUUGGAUUUAGAAUCUGGAACAGAUCCAGAAUUCUUGUCUGGAUUAUCCGGCUCAUCAACUUCCAUUUGAUCAAUUGAUCCAACAACCUUAUACAAUACAAAUCUUAUGUCAGCUGUUUACUGUGCAUCCAUUAGACGCCACAUUCACCAGUAUGUUUUAGAAGCAUCAGUUAUCCUGUAUUUAAUCUACAUCAAGCUUCACAUUCACGAUAAAGAGAAGUCUUCAUUAAGAUUCUAGAACCAAUGUAACAACCUGAUAAAUGAUCAAAUAGUUGAUGCAUCAUUUUACCAAAACAAGACCCUUAUCCUUCAAAGACCCCUCGUGUAGCAAUAUGGUGAAUAUCAGAAAAGUGAAGUCCAUAAUUCUGCCAUAUGUGUGGCAUUUAAAGCUUCAAUCUUUAGCAUAGAUCCCCUUGCAAUCUAUAGCAAGUUGGCACUUCAAUUUUCCUUCCAUGCAUAAAAUCCAUUUUAUUCGACUGCCUUGUCAAAAAAAAUUCUCCUUAAAGAGGCAAAAGAAAGUAAAUUGAAGAAAAAUUAGCACUAUCCACAAUGGCAAAAGUAAAACAACACAACAACUUAAUCCCCCUGUAUAUGUUCACAAUCAGCUUCUUAGGUUGGUCUGUCCUAUAGUUAGUUCUUUUUUCUUAAACUGUAGGUUCAGUUCCUUGUAACCAUGAUUCCACGUUCCAGCCUUUAAAAUCUCCCAGUGUAAGAAGUUCACAUCCAACAAACGAGGACCAAAAGAAAAAGAAGAACGACGACUAUCAAAAUCAAACUUUAAUAAUUAAAUUGAGAAGAAACUCGAAUGAGAUUAACAUAAAUCAGGUGCAAAAGAAGGUAAAACAAAAAAUUCAAACUUGGAGAAAAAUUCAGCUCCAAAACAGUAAAAUUCUAGCCACAUUGCAAAAUCAUGAUAAUAAAUGCAGUAAAUUCGCGAAUAUAUUGAGCUGAAAUAGACUACUAGCAAUGGCUUACCGAAGGAAAGACGGCUUUGGGAGCAUCUUCGCCAGCAUAACCAGCUUUGCAAGUGUGUGAGCCUAAGUCCACCACUAUAGCUGAUACCUCAUCUAUUUUUUUUAUACAUAGCACAGAAAAACGCACAUAAAUUAAACAAAUUUAAACUGGUACAUAGUGAAGUCAGUGCUAGCGCGUGCCUGAGCCUGUAAGUGUGUGUUCUACGUGAGAGAGAAAGAUAGAACGAUACUACCUCCGCCUUACAUGGUUGCAGGGCUAAAUUGGGCGGAGUUCCGAUUUGAUUGGGGAGUUUGGUCUUUGCUUUCGGAGCUUCGUCAAUGUUUUAAAACCCGGACCGUCAAUUGAACCGGUGAAGUGAAAGGGUCGAGGUUCAACCGGUCGGACUGGUUCAACCCCGAUUCAAUAAAUAAAUAAAUAUAUAUACAUGUAUGUAUAUAUAGAAGACACACACACCUAUGCACAGAAUAAGAUAUAAAUGCUAAACCACAAUUAACAUAAGAGCAAUAUCCAACAAUUAACACACACACAGUUAACAAAGUUAUCAAACUUACAUGUCCAAUUGUCUAAACUAUUCGUAUUUGGGAACUGAAACUGUCACCAAAAGAUCUAAAGGGGUUAAUGGAGACAAUGAAACAACCGUUUAGCUAGAGUGAAGUUAAUUCCCUAAGCCUUGUGCAUUUCUUGAGGGUGUUAAGUAUCUUCACGAUAACUGGGUUUUGCACAGAGAUUUAAAGACAUCAAAUAUACUUUUAAAUAAUUGUGGUGAGUUGAAGAUCUGUGACUUUGGAUUAGCACGUCAAUAUGGAAGCCCUUUGAAACCAUAUACUAACUUGGUGGUUACUUUGUGGUACAGGUGAGCGUAGUUUUAUGCACUAUUGUAUUUUUUAGUUGAGAUAAUUAAAAUCUUUUAUCUGGCUCAGCGAAGCAGCCUCUAUCCAAUGGGAAAACAGAAGUUGAUCAACUUGACAAGGUUAAAAUUUUGAAAACUUUCAUCUGUCAUGUUACUGUAGAUUUUUGUAUGGAUUUCAUCUGUCAUGUUAAUGAAGGCAGGACAGCUAUUGAUCUAAUAUUAGAAGGAGAAAAGGGAACUCUACACUUGUUUGCACCACCAAAAAACAAAUAGAAGUUGAAGUUCAGAUGGCUCAUAGUAGUUCAGUAGCAAAAUGGUACUUGAAUUCAUUUAUAAUCCUAAAUUUCCAGACAAGUCAUAAUUCCAAUCAGGUCAAGCGGAGCUAAACAUAUGACAGGCAAAAUAACCACUUGAUACUUUAUUCAUCAAGAAUCAGCACAACACAUCAGAAUGUAUCAUUUUAGGAAUUCCAAAAUAGGGCGUUGCGUGGAUAUAUCAGCUUGGAAAAACCAACAAUAUGUUUAUUCAGUAAGAAUUGUGAGCCUAAUUUAGACAUUCUUUCAUUUAGGAAAAGAAAAUAUAUUUCAGUGAUGUCAUGAUUCAAAAGCCCAGGUAUCAUCAACAGCCUGUUAAGAAAAAUCCUCCAAAUGGUGCGAGAUUUCACUUUUGUCAUUAGAACUAGUCCUAUUAGGGCUCUUAUCUCACCAGACACAAGACCUUAUACAGUGAAGUGCAGCAUAUAGUCCUAUUCUCUGCACAAUAAAGGAAAACUAAAUGAGCAGAGUUGCAGAGAGUAACAGAAUUUUCCAACAGGUAUCCCUCUAUAAGGUUUAGCAACUUCAUUCUAGCUCCCUCAGCGGAAUAUUCUAGCUCGCUCUCAGGCAACAAAUUCUCAUUUCGAAAGAAAUUCUGCAUCCAUGGUAUAAAAAGUUAAAAUCCCCAAAUUUAACUUCUACACAUUUGGAAAUUAGCAAUUUAGUGGAAAAUAAAAGAACUUUGUAAAUCUGUUAUGCAAGAAUUGCUCUUCUUAUCCUCAAUAGGGGUGUGCAUUCGGUGCAAAAUCAGUAAUUCGGUGCAAUGAAUUCGGUGAAUUCGGUUAUUCGAUUUCAAAUUUGAAAACGGUAAUGAAUUCGGUCUAACCGAAUUCUUCUUAGAAAAGAAAAGAUUAAUGAAACAUUUGAUAGAACACCUUCCGAGUCUGCUCCAUAUGAACCACACAAAAGUGAAGUAAAAUCUCUACCACAUAAGGAUGAUAUGCAUCUCAAUUGUGUCAAGGUCAAGAUUUCCAGUAUAUUGUUCAUAAUGCCGACGAAAUCAAGCAGUAUAUUUUCAAAAUCCAGUGAAAAUGCAACAAGAUAACCUAGUAGUAGACAAAAUUAUAAUUCAACAUAAUGAUUUUCCGAUUGCAGAGCUCAAUAACAAGUAUAUCGACUUAAAGCUUGCAAAAAGAAUUAAUAUUUCGAAGCACCGGUGACAUAUAUAUACAGGCAUAUUAAAGAAAACGGAAAAAAUUUAAGCUUUACCUCAAGUGGAGUCCUAUUGAUGAUUUCAGAGAGGCCGAUUACGUUUUCUUGCGGUGGAGCUGUCGGGAGGGAGGUGCUGGGAGUAACGGUGGUGAAAGCUUAGACAAAAGUGACGACCAGGUGGGUUCAGGUGAUAGCGAAGGGCUUUACCUAAGGCGCCUGUUUCUGAAAAUGGAUAAUUUCAUUUUCCUCCCCUGAUGCAUAUAUAAUAUCAAUUGUAUCCCUAAUAUAUUUUAUUUAUUAUUAUUUUUUUAAGAAACACAAAAAAAGUGAUUAAUUUAAACUUGAAUAAACCUUAGACUAUACAAUGAUUUAGUGAUAAUUUAUAAAUUUAUAACUUACAAUGAUUAAUAAUAAGUAAUAUUAGUUAGUAGUUACAAUGAAUUUAUAAUUUACAAUGAUUAAUAAUAAAUAAUAUUAAUUACAAACUUACAAAUUACAAUGAUUAGUGAUAAGUUAUAUUAGUUACAAACUUAUAAUUUAUUUCAAAUCAAAAUAAAACUUAUUUACUUACAUAUGUUAUUGUGAAAGUCAAUACACUAAUACAUUAAUUUGCAAUUCACAUGCAUUCACUUAUAAUGCUUAAUUGUCUUGUCUAUAUUUAAAGUCUUAAGAUUAGUAAAUAGAUAAUAUGAAUUUUAACUUAUUUGAUCACUUAUACCUAGAAUCCUUAGUCUAUGAUUUAAGGAACACAUAAAAAGUGAUUAAUUUAAAUUAGAAUAAAUCUUAGACUGUACAAUGAUUAGUGAUAAUUUAUGAAUUUAUAAUUUACAAUGAUUAAUAAUAAGUAAUAUUAGUUACAAACUUACAAAUUACAAUGAUUAGUGAUAAGUUAUAUUAGUUACAAACUUAUAAUUUAUUUCAAAUCAAAAUAAAACUUAUUUACUUACAUAUGUUAUUGUGAAAGUCAAUACACUAAUACAUUGAUUUGCAAUUCAUAUGCAUUCACUCACACUGCUUAGUUGUCUCAUAUGUACUUAAAACCUUAAGAUUAGUAAAUAGAUAAUAUGAAUUUUUAUGUUAAAUAUGUAAUGUAAAUUUAGAGCACACUAAUGCUUGCAAAUUACAGAUUACGCAUUCAAAUAUUCAAUAAUUCAAACAUGAAUGAUGUAUCAAAUUACCAACAUCUAAAUUCUAAUUACUAAUUAUGUUUAUUGUUUAAUAUUUAGUAUUAUACAUAUAUGUAUUAAUUAUUAUCUAAUUCUAGUUAUGUUACUCAUGUAUAAAAUAAUAAGUAUUAUAGUUAUCUUAUAUUGUUAUGUAUUACUAUAUAUUUGUAUUAUUAUAGUCAUAUAACAAUUAACAAAUACUAAAAUAAUAUAUUGUACAUUAUUACCUAGAAUUGUGUCUGCCACUAAGGCAUUUUAGUUCACCGUCCAUCAUGUUUUAAUUAGUGUUGGGUAUCAAUAUUUAUCUUGUGUUGCUUGCUGGAAAAAUAAGAAAUUUUAAGGCUUAACAUUUACUCAAGUCAGGCCUCGGGUUUGGACAAGUUAAGUAUAACCACUGGAUUUUACUUUGCUUUUUCUGUCUAAAAAGAAAAGAAAAGAAGAGAGAGGCUAGGAUGUUUGACCGAAGUAGUGGAACUACUAACAUAUUCGAUCAGCAAGUUUAAAGCAUAGAUAAGACCAUACGGACUACAAAAUCUUGUAAAUUUGGCUAUGCAUGGUUAACGGCUUUUAAUUUGACUGUUCAUGAUGAUGACUAUUGGAAUUGUAACUUUGAGGGGAAAAAAAAAACAGAGCUGGAGGAUUGACGAAGAAUAGAAGCAUAGAUAAGGAAAAAAAAUGGAAGAAGAAGAAGAAGAAACCAUCUUUGAUAAACCGCCUAAAACAUGACUACAUUUCUUUGGCCUGCUCAUGAUUGAAUCACAGCUCGGUGGCGGGUCAUUAAUCAUAGAAGUUGAUGGGAGGAAGGAGAACAUUGUAGAAUUGGUUUUAGUUUUCAAAGUUUACUUUUUUCUUUGGGUAAAUUAUAGAAUAGCUUCUAAAGUUUAUUACAAUUAAGUAUGGCCUGAGGUUUGAUAAUAGGAAUGAAUAUUAACUAAAUCAUUUCUUUUCUUUGAAUAAUUCCAAGUCUUUACAAAAGGUGCAAAGUUUAAUCGAAAACAAUAAUGUAAAGACAAGUCCAAAUUUCUAACAAUGAUCCAAUUUUAACAAGACAUCCCUAAGAAUUUAUUUUACAAGAAUCAGGUUUGACUAAAUGAACCAAUGAUGCUUUUAAGAGCCUAAUCAAAUUGUAAACCCAAUAAACAAGACUCUUUCAUGGAUGGACUUAACUCAGGGCUAAACAGAAAAUUUUCUAUAAAGGAAAACCUUAUAAAUCAGAAAAUUUUCUAGAAGGGGCAAACAUUCUUUUUUUUAGGAAGCUAUUCAAGUAUAUUUUAUCGAAAGUCGAAACAUAUUUUAUAGGGUUGCUUAAGAAAGAAAUAAGUGCUUUGAGAGUAAGACAUAAGAACUAAUUAAGGUAUAUAUGUUAUUGACUAUAGGUUUGAAACAAGUUUAAGGGCGCAUUAAGAAUCUCUUUAAGAGAGGAGUUUGAGGUAGGUGGUAUUUAUCCUUCUAAGAUUUCAAAGGUGCAAAAUGAAAUUUUUUUGUUUUCAAUACUAUUUUGUUGUGUGGACAAGGAAUGUAUUUGAUUAAAUGUUUUGUUUGAAUAUUUAUGAAAGUUAUAUUUUCCUAUACAAAAAUGGACCAUGUGACUUAUUUGAAAUGUUUUGAUAUGUUAUUGUAUACCAAAGGAGCUGAAUCUUUUAUGAAAUCAAAGAUCUAUCUAUGUGACAUAUGAAAUGAAUUUUUGACAAGUAAAACUCAAAAUGGUCAUGGAAUAGACAGUAGGGGCUAUAGUCCUGUCUAAUUGUCAUGGUAGUCUGGUAUAAAGUUCGGCCGAUUGACAAGGUCAUGAUAACCUGGUAUAAAAUCCGGCCGAUUGACAAAGUCAUGGUAGUCUGGUAUAAAGUCCGGCCGAUUGACAAGGUCAUGGUAGCCAGGUAUAAAAUCCGGCCGAUUGACUCAUGUAUGAAAUGAGACCAAUCGGUAGUCAUGAAACCUAUUGGUCGCCCACUUAGAAGGGGUUUAAUCUCUAGGUUGAGUACUCAGUAGCCGGUCAUUACAUGUACUUGUUAUGAGCUAAUAUGAAAUGAGUUAUGAGAUGAUAUGAAAUGAUUUACAAACUGAUAUGAAGAGACUUAUGAAUUGUUACGAAAUGUUUUAUGAUUUUAUGAUUUUUCAUGUAUAGUUAUUAAUAAGAUGCUUUUAAAUUGCUUGUUACUCGUUACUCCUGAUUGUUUUACAAACAACGUUGCUUUCAUGUUUACGGAUGUGAACGAUGUGCCAAUGAUUUGAUUUAUAUCUAUAUAUAUGUAUCUAUAAAGUUUUGAGUGCAUGGUCCAAUAGAGGGGUAGAUAUUACUUACUGAGCGAGUGUCGCUCAACCCACUUUUUACCAUCCUUGCAGAUUUUGAAGAAUAUGAGUUGGUUUACGUAGAAGACCCUGAGGACGACUUUUAUUAGCUUUAAAUGAAUAGAAAUUGGCAGGCUAGCUACUUCUAGUUGUUAGUUUAUUUACAUCCGUUUUCUGUUGUUUCGAUCCGAGGAUAAUUGUACGAACUUAUUGGAUAUUCGUAGAUUACCUUUUUAGACAUUUGUACCGCACUUUACCUAGUUAUAUUAUUUAGUACUUUUAAAGUUUAGUAUAGUAUGAUGUUGCCUUGUAUUCUUGAGCGAUACUUGAGGAUACGGCGGAUGCCACGUGACGGGCGCGUGCGGGCUCGGGGCGUAAUAUUUUUAGUGGUAUCAGAGCUUAGAUUUUAUGAUCUGAAAGUGUGAGAAAUGAUGUUUGGAUAUUAAUGAUUUUGAAAAUUGAAAGGAGAUGGAAAAACAGAUCAAAAGAAAUAAGAGAUUGCUGUGACUUUUUAGUAGUACCAGAGCUCAGGUUAUAUGAUCUAAAAAUAUGUGAAAUAGUGUUAGAGAUAUUAGGGAUUUUAAGUAUUGAAAUGAGAUAAAAAAAAAUACAGGAUUAAAGGAAAUAAGAUAUUUUCAUGAUUUUUAAUGUUAUCAGAGUUCUGGUUAUGAGCAUGGGGUACGAUUUACUCUGUAGAGGAAAUACACACUAGGAAAUGAUCAAUUGUGACUGAAUAAAUCGGCUUGAAAAAGUUGCAUGUGUGAUUUAAGUUGGAAAUGGUACUAUAGGUGUUCAUGAUAUCCUUUUAUUGGAUGUGAUUUUGGUGGUACAUUCUAAAUUUAAGAUGUCGGACGUGUAGGAAAUAUUAUGUAUAGCUGAAGUAUUGACAGCGGGAAAUUGAAAGUAUCAAGGGAUUAAAGUAUGUAUGCAAUACAUGUUGGAUCUUGGAAUUUUGUUGACUUAUUUUGAGGGUAGCAACUCCAAUCCAGUAUCAUUAAUUGCUGGUGAUUUGCCAAUGAUAGAGAACAAUUCAUGCCCAAAUAAAGGUGAUUUAAACGUGGCUUAAAUCCAAGCUGUGAAUUUUGAAAAGAAAAUUGUCUUUUAAAUAUUUAUACGAAUAGUUGCGGUUGAACUAAUUGAGCAUGACCAUAUCUAGGUUACAAACCAGACUCCACAAUGGCAAUUGUAGAGGCCCCUUACUCCUUCAUAAAAGAUUAUGUAUUUGAAUCUCAUUGUCGAUAUUUGAAUUCUGCUAUCGAUGUGAAAACUAUGUUGAUGGAUAAUUUAUAAGCACCCCUAUAAGCGAUCUAUGAUCUGGUACAUGCCUGAUUCAUGGUGAUAAUCAAACCAAACUUAUUCAAACCUUUUUUGUAUUAAAAAAAAACAAGAAGAGACAAAGAGACACAGCCCACUUGCUAGUAGUUAAUGAUCUUAGCUUUAAAAGGAAAUUAAGAAUGUCUUUUGUUGUUUGGGAAUGUAUCAAUUGUCAUCCUAGGAAAAAUCAACCUUUUAAUCCCCUUUGUGGCUUUUUCAAGUUGUGGAUCCUUGUGAGAAUAGUACGGCAAACUAUGCUUGUAACCAUGACACGACCUACCAAUACAUGCACUGGUAGGCCUUAGAAUCAAGGUCUCAUGCAUUCUUGCAAUCCUUCUCUUUUUCUGCUCCUUCCACCACAUGCAAGAAGAGAAAUUUGCAUUUACCACCUAAUAUCUUCAUUUACUCUCAUGGUACAAGGCAAGAACAAUUGUUAGGGGUAACCAUUUUUCCAAAUUUAGGAUUGCACGCAUUUCUAUUCUAAAGUUAAUUUAACCAUGCCAUUGUAUUUUAAGGAAAAAAUUAGGGAUAAUUUCAGAAACCUCCCCUGAGGUUUCUGACAUUUACACUCACCUCCCCUGUGGUUUGAACAAUUACACUAACCUCCCCUGAUGUUACUAAUCCUUUACAAAUUCAGUCCAAAUGAUUAAACUAUUGUUUUAGAGAGUGAAAUUAGAAUUUUGUACCUGAUUUGCCCUUUGUGCUACAUAUCCAAUGAAUGACAAAGUAUUACAAAUUAAUUAAUAAUUAAUAAACUUUAAGGAGUGUAGUUUAUAGGAAAAAACGUAUUACUUAUUUAAAGUACCAACUAUUUACGAGUAUUUUACUUUCAAACAUUUACUUUAUUACAAAUAUUUAUUCUUAAAUACAGAUUUGUAUUACUCUCAAAUAUUUAAUUUUUGUUAAAUAAAAAACCUACCAGUUAUUCUUCCGUAAAAAUAUUAAUAUAACACUUUUUCAAUUUUAGUUAUAAAUAUUUAUGUAUUUAGCAUAAAUUAAAUGAUUCAUGAUUAAAUACUCAUAAAGAGUUAAUACUUUACUCAUGUAAUGGAUGAAAAUCAUAAAAAAUUAAUACUUUAUGGGGGCAUUUCUUUUUUAAAAAAAUAUUUAAUUUAUAUUAAAUAGAUAACUUACUGAUUUUUUUUUGCGAGAAUAUUAUUGUAACACUUUUUAAUUUUUAAUUACAAACGUUAAUAUAUUUAUCAUAAAUUAAAUAUUUGAAAAUAAAAUAUCUGUAAAGAGCGGGUAUUUUAAAUAAGUUAUGUGUAUUUGCCUAUAAACUAUACUCUUUAAAGUAAAGAGUAUAGUUUAUUGAUUUAAGUUAAGGAGUGUAGUUUAUUAAUUUAAAUAAGGAGUGUAGUUGAUAAAAUAAAUGGUUUCGGAAUUAAAGUUUUCUUUCAUUUUCACCCAUCUUUUUUGAAAAUGUUUCAAAGAACAAUAAUAUUUAUAUGUUUCUUUUUCUUUUGCCUGGCGUCUUUAGAAGGUGUGAGAUUCAGGCACAAAUAUUUCAUUUAGACACAAGUACCAUAACAGCUACUAUACCAAUAGUUUACAUAAUACUACGUUGAUCCAGUGUGGUCCCCCCUCUCUCUCUCUCUCUGAAGUUUCGUCGAAGGCUUACCAAAGAUUAUUGAUUGUGCAGACAGUUAAAUAGACCAAACCACUUUUGUGUGCACGCUCGUACUUACACGUAUAAACUAAUCGUUUUACCAAAAGCAUACCCAUUUUUGUCUUUUAAGAGGACUAACCCCGCCACCUACAAAAGAUUCUCUACUAGCUAAAUCAAUAAACUAUACUCCUUACUUUAAAUAGUAUAGUUUAUAGGCAAAUACACAUAACCUAUUUAAAGUAACGAUUCUUUACAGAUAUUUUAUUUUCAAAUAUUUAAUUUAUGAUAAAUAUAUUAACGUUUGUAAUUGAAAAUUAAAAAGUGUUACAGUAAUAUUCUCGCAAAAAGAAAAUCAGUAGGUUAUCUAUUUAACAUAAAUUAAAUAUAUUUUUUUUAAAAAAAUGGCUCAUAAAGUAUUAAUUUUUUAUGAUUUUCAUCCAUUACAUGAGUAAAGUAUUAGCUCUUUAUGAGUAUUUAAUCCUGAAUCAUUUAAUUUAUGCUAAAUACAUAAAUAUUUAUAACUAAAAUUGAAAAAGUGUUAUAUUAAUAUUUCUACGGAAGAAAAACUGGUAGGUUUUUUAUUUAACAAAAAUUAAAUAUUUGAGAGUAAUACAAAUCUGUAUUUGAGAAUAAAUAUUUGUAAUAAAGUAAAUGUUUGAAAGUAAAAUACUCGUAAAGAGCUGGUACUUUAAAUAACUAAUACGUUUUUGCCUAUAAACUACGCUCCUUAAAGUUUAUUAAUUAUUAAUUAAUUUGUAAUACUUUGUCAUUCAUUGGAUAUGUAGCACAAAGGGAAAAUCAGGUACAAAAUUCUAAUUUCACUCUCUAAAAUAAUAUUUUAAUCAUUUGGACUGAAUUUGUAAAGGAUUAGUAACCUCAGGGGAGGUUAGUGUAAUUGUUCAAACCACAGGGGAGGUGAGUGUAAAUGUCAGAAUCUCAGGGGAGGUUUCUGAAAUUAUCCCAAAAAAUUAUGCUGCUAGCCUAAAAUUUGGUAAAUAAAUGUCUCUCACUUGUUUUGAAAAGGUACUAGGCUAAUCCACUUCACUCCCUCCUUCUGUCACCUAGGCUGCUAAGUGGGAAUUCUUGACUUCUGUGUUUAGGGCCGAUGAGACAAAAGGGAUCAUGCGAAGUUCCAACGAAUCAUGACACAUAAAGGGAAAAACCCCAAUUCUGUAAUUUUCACAUUUAGCUGGUCCUAUUUUGGUCCCCUUGCUAUUACUCAAGCUAAUCUUGCAGCUUAUCAUACGAAAAGAAAGGAUGUCGCUCAAGCUAAUAUGGUCGCUAAUUAUUUUAAGGGGGAGGGGGAUCCAAAGCAGUUACCCAUUUUGACAAUACUGUAAUACCAUCUCAUGUAUGCAUUAAUUUAACAAAUGCAGAUAUUAAAACACUAUCAUGUAAGAACAUGACAAAAUUUGGUACUCAUUAAAAACUGUCGACGUCUAAUUUUUUGCAUCUGCAGUAAAAUCUAGAGGUAGAGGGUGAGUAGUAGUGUACCCUUUUAGUUUGAAAAUAUGUUGCUUUACUUCUAAUUUCUAUUGAUUCAGUUAGACACUAAAACUCUCUUGUAAUAUAAAUUAAAAUAAAGAUAUUGUAGAUGUUGUGGGUUGACAAAAAAAAAUCAACUUACACACACUUUUCCAUGGAUGCACCGAGCAAUUGGUCUGCAAUUGUAUAGUCCAUUCAACAAAACAGUUAACCACACCUAACAUACGAGUCUCUGGUGUUUUUAUCCCUUCAUCGUUUGUAUUUCGCCAUUCCUUCAAAAUGUGGGAGCGAAUCAAUUCACAGAAUUGAUAGGUGAGGGGACCAAAACUGCAAUUUGCAUAAGUAAAAGCAAUCAUCAUAACCAGAGAAAACCACCUUUGACUGAAGUUAAUGGAAAGUACACUAGCGUAACUAACUACAACUUACAGCUAUUAAAUGGAGGUGUGCCAGACAGGCAGCAGCCUCAUUUCCCAUUUCCACCUCAAAACCUCAAAUCAAAACAAAGCAGUAGAUCCAAUAUUCAUAAUCCUUCCCACUCAAAUUAGUUACUACUGCUCCUUUGCUAUUGGCAAUUAGGAAGAUGUCAAGGCGAUCUGGGAACUGUGUAAGGUGCUGUUUGGUUGUAUUUGCAGUGGUUUCAGCUCUCUGUGUAUCUGGGCCUGCAAUUUACUGGAAAUUCAAGAAAAGUCUCAGCUUGAAAGCUACAUCGUUUAAUUCUUGCAGUCC